UACGAAGGGGGCUAGCGUUGCUCGGAAUCACUGGGCGUAAAGGGUGCGUAGGCGGGGCUUUAAGUCAGGGGUGAAAUCCUGGAGCUCAACUCCAGAACUGCCUUUGAUACUGGCGAUCUCGAGUCCGGGAGAGGUGAGUGGAACUGCGAGUGUAGAGGUGAAAUUCGUAGAUAUUCGCAAGAACACCAGUGGCGAAGGCGGCUCACUGGCCCGAUACUGACGCUGAGGCACGAAAGCGUGGGGAGCAAACAGG
rnacentral:rRNA from 1 species